rnacentral:rRNA from 1 species
AAAGCUUCCUUCGGGGAGCAAGUAGAGUGGCGCACGGGUNAGUAACACGUAGGUAAUCUACCUUCGGAUGGGGAAUAACAAUCGGAAACGGUUGCUAAUACCGCAUAAUGCAGCGGCACCUAAUGGUGACAGUUGUUAAAGCGGGGGAUCGAAAGACCUCGCGUCUGAAGAGGAGCCUGCGGCGGAUUAGCUAGUUGGUAAGGUAACGGCUUACCAAGGCGACGAUCCGUAGCCGGCCUGAGAGGGCGGUCGGCCACACUGACACUGACAUACGGGUCAGACUCCUACGGGAGGCAGCAGUCGGGAAUUUUGGGCAAUGGGCGAAAGCCUGACCCAGCAACGCCGCGUGAAGGAUGAAAUCCUUCGGGAUGUAAACUUCGCAAGAACGGGAAGAAUAAGUCUGCGCAAAUAUCGCAGAUGAUGACGGUACCGUUUGUAAGCUCCGGCUAACUCCGUGCCAGCAGCCGCGGUAAUACGGGGGGAGCAAGCGUUGUUCGGAUUUACUGGGCGUAAAGGGCGCGUAGGCGGCCACUGCAAGUCAGUUGUGAAAUCUCCGGGCUUAACUCGGAAAGGUCAACUGAUACUGCAGGGCUAGAGUGCGGAAGGGGCAACUGGAAUUCUCGGUGUAGCGGUGAAAUGCGUAGAUAUCGAGAGGAACACCUGCGGCGAAGGCGGGUUGCUGGGCCGACACUGACGCUGAAGCGCGAAAGCUAGGGGAGCGAACGGGAUUAGAUACCCCGGUAGUCCUAGCCUUAAACGAUGGAUGCUUGGUGUCCGGGGUUUUAUAGU